GUGAAUCAUCGAAUUUUUGAACGCAAAUUGCACUCUCUGGUAUUCCGGAGAGUAUGCCUGUUUGAGGGUCAGUUAAAUUAAAAUUGGUGUUGUUACUGCCUUUUCUGGGGAAGGGACGGGAUUGGGUCGUUCUUGCUUCGGUUUAGUGACUUAAAAUUUUUGCAUGAUUUUUGUCCGUAUUUAUAUCGUUUACGUACGUUCGAGAUCGAGAAUGAU
rnacentral:misc_RNA from 1 species